rnacentral:rRNA from 1 species
UACGGAGGGGGCGAGCGUUAUUCGGAAUUAUUGGGCGUAAAGGGCGCGUAGGCGGCCCGGUAAGUCAAAGGUGAAAUCCCUCGGCUCAACUGAGGAACUGCCUUUGAAACUGUCGGGCUUGAGGCCGGGAGGGGGUAGCGGAAUUCCCAGUGUAGCGGUGAAAUGCGUAGAUAUCAGGAGGAACACCAAUGGCGAAGGCAGCUCGCUGGGACGGUACUGACGCUAAGGCGCGAAAGCGUGGGGAGCAAACAGG